GGAGCCGGAGGGAAACCGAGUCUUAAUUGGGCGUUAAGUUGCAGGGUAUAGACCCGAAACCCGGUGAUCUAGCCAUGGGCAGGUUGAAGGUUGGGUAACACUAACUGGAGGACCGAACCGACUAAUGUUGAAAAAUUAGCGGAUGACCUGUGGCUGGGGGUGAAAGGCCAAUCAAACCGGGAGAUAGCUGGUUCUCCCCGAAAGCUAUUUAGGUAGCGCCUCGUGAAUUCAUCUCCGGGGGUAGAGCACUGUUUCGGCUAGGGGGCCAUCCCGGCUUACCAACCCGAUGCAAACUGCGAAUACCGGAGAAUGUUAUCACGGGAGACACACGGCGGGUGCUAACGUCCGUCGUGAAGAGGGAAACAACCCAGACCGCCAGCUAAGGUCCCAAAGUCAUGGUUAAGUGGGAAACGAUGUGGGAAGGCCCAGACAGCCAGGAUGUUGGCUUAGAAGCAGCCAUCAUUUAAAGAAAGCGUAAUAGCUCACUGGUCGAGUCGGCCUGCGCGGAAGAUGUAACGGGGCUAAACCAUGCACCGAAGCUGCGGCAGCGAACGUAUCACCCAAGACAACUUUACGGAGUUGACGAUUGACGGAGCGAAGCGACGUCAAAGCGUUCAUUAAAGUCGAGUUGGCUUAGGGAUACGUUCGUUGGGUAGGGGAGCGUUCUGUAAGCCUGUGAAGGUGUGUCGUGAGGCA
rnacentral:rRNA from 1 species